AUUGAACGCUGGCGGCAGGCCUAACACAUGCAAGUCGAACGGUAACAGGAAGAAGCUUGCUUCUUUGCUGACGAGUGGCGGACGGGUGAGUAAUGUCUGGGAAACUGCCUGAUGGAGGGGGAUAACUACUGGAAACGGUAGCUAAUACAGCAUAACGUCGCAAGACCAAAGAGGGGGACCUUCGGGCCUCUUGCCAUCGGAUGUGCCCAGAUGGGAUUAGCUAGUAGGUGGGGUAACGGCUCACCUAGGCGACGAUCCCUAGCUGGUCUGAGAGGAUGACCAGCCACACUGGAACUGAGACACGGUCCAGACUCCUACGGGAGGAAGCAGUGGGGAAUAUUGCACGAUGGGCGCAAGCCUGAUGCAGCCAUGCCGCGUGUAUGAAGAAGGCCUUCGGGUUGUAAAGUACUUUCAGCGGGGAGGAAGGGAGUAAAGUUAAUACCUUUGCUCAUUGACGUUACCCGCAGAAGAAGCACCGGCUAACUCCGUG
rnacentral:rRNA from 1 species